rnacentral:rRNA from 1 species
UACCGGCGGCUCGAGUGGUGGCCACUUUUAUUGGGCUUAAAGCGUUCGUAGCUGGGUUGUUAAGUCUCUUGGGAAAUCUGACGGCUCAACCGUCAGGCGUCCAAGGGAUACUGGCAAUCUUGGAACCGGGAGAGGUGAGGGGUACUUCGGGGGUAGGAGUGAAAUCCUGUAAUCCUCGAGGGACCACCUGUGGCGAAGGCGCCUCACCAGAACGGCUUCGACAGUGAGGGACGAAAGCUGGGGGAGCAAA